AAUCAACGCUGGCGGCGUGCCUCAGACAUGCAAGUCGAACGCUGCUGUUCGCCUUCGGGUGGACAGCGGAGUGGCGCACGGGUGAGUAACACGUAGGUAAUCUACCUUUGGGUGGGGAAUAACAGCCGGAAACGGCUGCUAAUACCGCAUAAUGCAGCGGCAUCACAUGAUGACAGUUGUUAAAGCGGGGGAUCGUAAGACCUCGCGCCUGAAGAGGAGCCUGCGGCAGAUUAGGUAGUUGGUGAGGUAAUGGCUCACCAAGCCUGCGAUCUGUAACCGGCCUGAGAGGGCGGUCGGUCACACUGACACUGACAUACGGGUCAGACUCCUACGGGAGGCAGCAGUCGGAA
rnacentral:rRNA from 1 species